CACGUAGGGCGCGAGCGUUGUCCGGAAUUAUUGGGCGUAAAGAGCUCGUAGGCGGUUUGUCGCGUCUGCCGUGAAAGUCCGGGGCUCAACUCCGGAUCUGCGGUGGGUACGGGCAGACUAGAGUGAUGUAGGGGAGACUGGAAUUCCUGGUGUAGCGGUGAAAUGCGCAGAUAUCAGGAGGAACACCGAUGGCGAAGGCAGGUCUCUGGGCAUUAACUGACGCUGAGGAGCGAAAGCAUGGGGAGCGAACAGG
rnacentral:rRNA from 1 species